rnacentral:rRNA from 1 species
GACGAACGCUGGCGGCGUGCUUAACACAUGCAAGUCGAACGGAAAGGCCCUGCUUUUGUGGGGUGCUCGAGUGGCGAACGGGUGAGUAACACGUGAGUAACCUGCCCUUGACUUUGGGAUAACUUCAGGAAACUGGGGCUAAUACCGGAUAGGAGCUCCUGCUGCAUGGUGGGGGUUGGAAAGUUUCGGCGGUUGGGGAUGGACUCGCGGCUUAUCAGCUUGUUGGUGGGGUAGUGGCUUACCAAGGCUUUGACGGGUAGCCGGCCUGAGAGGGUGACCGGCCAAAUUGGGACUGAGAUACGGCCCAGACUCCUACGGGAGGCAGCAGUGGGGAAUAUGGCACAAUGGGCGGAAGCCUGAUGCAGCAACGCCGCGUGCGGGAUGACGGCCUUCGGGUUGUAAACCGCUUUCGCCUGUGACGAAGCGUGAGUGACGGUAAUGGGUAAAGAAGCACCGGCUAACUACGU